rnacentral:rRNA from 1 species
AUACGGAGGGGGCUAGCGUUGUUCGGAAUUACUGGGCGUAAAGCGUACGUAGGCGGACUGAUCAGUUGGGGGUGAAAUCCCAGGGCUUAACCCUGGAACUGCCUUCAAUACUGUCAGUCUUGAGAUUGGAAGAGGGGAGUGGAAUUCCUAGUGUAGAGGUGAAAUCCAUAGAUAUUAGGAGGAACACCAGUGGCGAAGGCGGCUCACUGGUCCAAUACUGACGCUGAGGUACGAAAGCGUGGGGAGCAAACAGGAUUAGAAACCCUAGUAGUCC